CAUAAUUGCUGCUGAUCAAAUGUCAGCAUGUCCGAGAACAAAUGGUUCUGUUUUGGAACAAAAUAAUAGGGAUUAAAACAAAGCAAAAAUCCAUAAACAGAAACAAAUAAGCAAUUGUAGGGAAAUAAAAUCUUUUUAUAAAAUAUUUUGAAAAAAAUGCAAAUAGUUAAUUUAGGAAUGCUUAAGACUGUCCUUAGGGUAUUUAACGUUCAAGGAUAGAUCCAAGGUCUUCUUGCUCCUUUACUGUCGGCCCCAUGACCCUGUAACAAAGAAAUUGUAUGAGAUUUAGAAACAUAGGGCUCUUGAGCCAAUGCACAAAAAAACCCAACUUUCUGGGGUUCCUACAGAUUCUGCUUAUUUAAAUACCUGAGGCCACGCAUGAACUUUUCCCCCUUUUCCUUCCUGUUGGGUCAAUCAGUAUGGAUUACCCAGAUUCAGGUUUUUAGGAUGCAUAAUUUGCUAAGCAAUGUCGACAGCUGGUAAAUUUGAUUUCAAUCUAAGCCUAUAGGCUAUUUCUGUUUCAUAAUUUAGAUGUGGUCUUUCAGUUUUAUGAUGCUCUGUGCAGUGCCUAGAUCAGAUUUUUGAAAACACUAAUUGCAGAAUAGUAAUGGUGCAGAAUCCUUCUCAUCUAUGACUCUUUAUUUUUAUUUUUAUUUUUUUAUUUUUUUUUUGUGCAAAGGCAAUUACUGUUUUUCUUUUAAACACCUCUGAAAUUUCUGUUCCAUUCCUACAAAUUAUGCAUGGAUAUGAACAUGAAAUAAAUUGUCAGUGAAUGGAGAUGAAGACACAGAACUCCUGUGUGUUUAAAAAAAAAAAAAAAAGCUUUUAAAGAUAAGAAAGAAGAAACCAUCACAACAGCAGCUGUCAAAAUGUGGAUUAUCAGUGCUGAUGACAUGAUGAUUAUGCAGUAUUUUUCUAGAUGGACACCUCAGCAUUUCACUGAUACACUGCAUAUCAGGUGUUGGUGCCCAGGUGCUGGCAAUGGGGAACUGAAGGACUGCUCUGUGAGGAGAUGCCAGGGUGGCCCUGUGCAGGAUGCAGCCAGUUCCAGAUGGAACCAACAGCCUCACAGCAAGGCACAGCUGAGCUUAGCAGUCAGGCUGAGGUGCCUCUGGUAAAAUGCAUUUAAGAAAGAGCAGAAAAAGCUGCAUAGGCAGUGACGAGUGAGGGAAAAUGUAUGAAAAGUAGUCUUGGGAAGACCAAUUUGAGAGAAGGGGGAGGAGGUGCACCAGGCACUGGAGGGAGAUAUGACCCUUGCAGCAGUUUGGUAUAUCCAUAAGGAAUGGAACUGCAGCCCCUGAGAAACUGCAGCACAUGAAGACAGCCCUGUGAUUCACUAGGCAAAAUGUGAUGAGGAAGCAGAGACAGAGGAGCUGUUACAGACUAGCCACAGCCUCUAUUAUCUAUCCCCGUGUGCUGCUCAGGAUGAGGGAUAGAGGAGGGAGAGAAAUCAGCAAUGAAGUUGAGACUGUUUUGUCUGUGCUGAUAACUUAUUAAGUGCUCCAUCCCUGUUUUAUCUGUGAACUUUUCCAUCUUAUUUCUUCCCUGGUCCUUUUGAGGAGGGAAAGUGAGAAGGAUGCUGGAUGAAUAUCUGGCUGCUGGCAAAGGCCAACCCCACCACACACUAAAAUACUGACCAGCCUCUCUUGUGUAAGAACUUUUUUCCCCAAAAUAUAUUUUUUGAUAGAUUUGUUGAUUAUAACUGCUGAUCUUACACUGUCUUAUCACUCCCCUCCUUUAUUCUGUUCUCUGUUUGUAACCUGUAUUUAUUUUAUUAUUGUGUGAUAGUUUGCAUGCUACAAGGAGCAUGCAAGCAUAUGCAGUUUCAUUUAGAAUUUAGGUGUUAGAAUCAAAUCUUGCUUUUGAACAUGGCCAGCCUUCUGCUUUAGACUUUAUUAGAGACAGUAUACAGCAUAGUAAUAAAAGUUUGCUCUGAUGCA
rnacentral:lncRNA from 1 species